rnacentral:rRNA from 1 species
GCCUUGAAAUCAAUUUUUACAUAAUAUACACAUGCAAGUAUCCGCAGCCCCGUGAAAACGCCCUUUAAACCCCUAUAGGGAAAAGGAGCUGGUAUCAGGCACAAAUUAUGCCCAAGACACCUAGCUACGCCACACCUCCAAAGGAAUUCAGCAGUGAUUAACAUUGAAUAUAAGCGACAGCUUGAUUCAGUUAUAGUAUACAGAGCCGGCAAAUCUGGUGCCAGCCGCCGCGGUUACACCACGUGGCUCAAAUUGACUCUCAUCGGCGUAAAGCGUGAUUAAAGCCUCCCUAAUACUAGAGUUGAACUAAAACUAAGCCGUGACACGCUUAUUACCUAAGAAACUCAAAAACGAAAGUUACUCUAUCUAUACCAACUUGAACUCACGACAGCCGGAAUACAAAC